rnacentral:rRNA from 1 species
CAAAGGAGGCGACUCCGGAGACGGAUGGGCAUGCGUGACAUUAGCUAGUUGGCGGGGUAACGGCCCACCAAGGCGACGAUGUCUAGGGGUUCUGAGAGGAAGGUCCCCCACACUGGUACUGAGACACGGACCAGACUCCUACGGGAGGCAGCAGUGAGGAAUAUUGGUCAAUGGGCGAGAGCCUGAACCAGCCAAGUCGCGUGAAGGAUGACGGCCCUACGGGUUGUAAACUUCUUUUGUCAGGGAGCAAUUGAGUCCACGUGUGGGCUUAGCGAGAGUACCUGAAGAAAAAGCAUCGGCUAACUCCGUGCCAGCAGCCGCGGUAAUACGGAGGAUGCGAGCGUUAUCCGGAUUUAUUGGGUUUAAAGGGUGCGUAGGCGGAAUAUCAAGUCAGCGGUAAAAAUUCGGGGCUCAACCCCGUCGUGCCGUUGAAACUGAUGUUCUUGAGUGGGCGAGAAGUAUGCGGAAUGCGUGGUGUAGCGGUGAAAUGCAUAGAUAUCACGCAGAACUCCGAUUGCGAAGGCAGCAUACCGGCGCCCAACUGACGCUGAAGCACGAAAGCGUGGGUAUCGAACAGGAUUAGAUACCCUGGUAGUCCACGCAGUAAACGAUGAAUGCUAAUUGUCCGGAGGGAUUGACCUCUGG